UACGUAGGGUGCAAGCGUUAAUCGGAAUUACUGGGCGUAAAGCGUGCGCAGGCGGUUAUGCAAGACAGAUGUGAAAUCCCCGGGCUUAACCUGGGAACCGCAUUUGUGACUGCAUAGCUGGAGUACGGCAGAGGGGGAUGGAAUUCCGCGUGUAGCAGUGAAAUGCGUAGAUAUGCGGAGGAACACCGAUGGCGAAGGCAGUCCCCUGGGCCUGUACUGACGCUCAUGCACGAA
rnacentral:rRNA from 1 species